rnacentral:rRNA from 1 species
CCUACGGGAGGCUGCAGUGAGGAAUAUUGGUCAAUGGACGCAAGUCUGAACCAGCCAAGCCGCGUGAAGGACGAAGGUGCCAAGCAUUGUAUACUUCUUUUGUCAAGGGACAAAAUCAGGCUCGAGAGCCUGACCGAGGGUACUUGAAGAAAAAGCAUCGGCUAACUCCGUGCCAGCAGCCGCGGUAAUACGGGGGAUGCGAGCGUUAUCCGGAUUUAUUGGGUUUAAAGGGUGCGUAGGCGGGCUGUUAAGUCAGCGGUAAAAGCCCGGGGCUCAACCCCGGCGAGCCGUUGAAACUGGCUGUCUUGAGAUGUCGAGAGGUAUGCGGAAUGCGCAGUGUAGCGGUGAAAUGCUUAGAUAUUGCGCAGAACUCCGAUUGCGAAGGCAGCAUACCGGCGGCGAUCUGACGCUGAGGCACGAAAGCGUGGGUAUCGAACAGGAUUAGAUACCCGAGUAGUC